rnacentral:tRNA from 1 species
GUAGUCGUGGCCGAGUGGUUAGGGUGAUGGACUUGAAAUCCAUUGGGGUCUCCCCGCGCAGGUUCGAGUCCAGCCCACUACG